rnacentral:rRNA from 1 species
GACGAACGCUGGCGGCGUGCUUAACACAUGCAAGUCGAACGGUAAGGCCCUUCGGGGUACACGAGUGGCGAACGGGUGAGUAACACGUGGGUGAUCUGCCCUGCACUUCGGGAUAAGCCUGGGAAACUGGGUCUAAUACCGGAUAGGACCACUGCCUGCAUGGGUGGUGGUGGAAAGCUUUUGCGGCGUGGGAUGGGCCCGCGGCCUAUCAGCUUGUUGGUGGGGUGAUGGCCUACCAAGGCGACGACGGGUAGCCGGCCUGAGAGGGUGACCGGCCACACUGGGACUGAGAUACGGCCCAGACUCCUACGGGAGGCAGCAGUGGGGAAUAUUGCACAAUGGGCGCAAGCCUGAUGUAGCGACGCCGCGUGAGGGAUGACGGCCUUCGGGUUGUAAACCUCUUUCAGCACCGACGAAGCGCAAGUGACGGUAGGUGCAGAAGAAGGACCGGCCAACUACGUGCCAGCAGCCGCUGUAA